CACCGCGGGCUUCUUCUUCGUCCUCUUAAAAGUUGAAGAAGCUCAUGUGAUGCUAGCGCCACCAGCUGCUCUGUCUAUUUAAAUGUGUCGCGAACGCCGGCUGGCCACAGCAGCGCGCACCACGUCGGAGCAGCAGCAGCAGCAGCAGCAGGCGGGACCGCAGCAGUACAGAUGUAAGUUUCAUGUAACUUCACACACUGUCCUAAAAAAUGUGCGGUUGUAUCUCUUUGUCAUGUCAUGGUGUCAUAUUUGCCCAAGUAAUCAUUUUAUGAGCAAAUAUGUGGCGACAUCAUGGAGGUAAAGCUCACUUAUUCCAUCAUUAAACUGCACAGCUGCAGUAAUCAGGCAGAUCUCAUUGAACAAACGAUCACCACGUGAGUGAAUGAAGGCUAAAAGUAAUGGAAAAGCUACUUUGUGAAUUUCUAAAGCAGUGCAAGAAUAUAAUACAGCAGCAUCCAUCACUUGCACAAUUACCAUUCAGUCUAAAACGGGCGCAGUACCUACUCUCUGCCUGCGGGGGUCG